rnacentral:rRNA from 1 species
GGAAUAUUGGGCAAUGGGGGGAACCCUGACCCAGCAACGCCGCGUGAAGGAAGAAGGCUUUCGGGUUGUAAACUUCUGUCCUGUGAGACGAAGGACGUGACGGUAUCCCAGGAGGAAGCCCCGGCUAACUACGUGCCAGCAGCCGCGGUAAUACGUAGGGGGCGAGCGUUGUCCGGAAUGAUUGGGCGUAAAGGGCGCGUAGGCGGCUAUAUAAGUCUGGAGUGAAAGUCCCGCUUUCAAGGUGGGAAUUGCUUUGGAUACUGUGUAGCUCGAGUGCAGGAGAGGUAAGCGGAAUUCCCGGUGUAGCGGUGAAAUGCGUAGAGAUCGGGAGGAACACCAGUGGCGAAGGCGGCUUACUGGACUGUAACUGACGCUGAGGCGCGAAAGCGUGGGGAGCAAACAGG